GCUAUUUUGGCAGAUAAGUGCUUUAAAUUUAGAAUUUAAAAAAAAUAGAAUAUUUUUCUAUAAAUAGUA
rnacentral:tRNA from 1 species